UGCUCCAGUCAUUUCCAGAUGAAAGUCGCUAAAUGCAAUGCCUGAACAGUCUGGAGCUUUCCUCAUACAGCAUUAUCAGCAGUUAUGUCAGGGGGUGUUCACGAGAUCGCAUUCUGUCCAUAGUUUGAUAGUGAGACGAUCGAUAUCCCCUGACAGGGCAAAAUCUUAGUCUUGAUAUUGGCAGGAUUGAAGCUGGCAGUCCCAGAAUGUGACUGGCAGCCUCUGCAGGAGGACUAUUUCCUCAUAAGAGUGACUUUUCAGAAAAUAAUUUGUAAUGUGUCGUCCACUGUGAUUCUUCAUCUUUGGUUGAUUGGAAAACCAGACCUUUAGAUUCAUAUUCUUUUUGCAAGUUCAGUAUCUGAAGGCAUGCCGGUUUAUCUGAGAUGUUGAUAUGGUGGAAAUUACAAGACGUUGAAAGAAUCGGCAGCUCUUUAAGAGAUCCCUUUAACCAUAGUCAUCUCAGUUUCUUAAGGACUAGCAGUUUAGCACCGAAAGACGAAGCAUCACUUCCAUGUGGGGGCGCUGAUGUGCUGGUGCCGGUGGUUGGGGCUGACAGUGGCAGGAUCUGGCUGGAUAGGAGGUCGGGCCGCCAGAAGUUUCACUGAAGAUGACCGCUACUUUUGGCCCCGAGGGCAAUGGUCACCGUUAGCAGCAAAGAUGCAGACACGUAGUAACACCUGCCGGCGUUGUUGAGGGUGGCCGGUCCAUUGGUUAGGAUGAUGAACGGAGGAGAAGCGGUGUUGCAGCUGUUAUUUUGCCCUUGGACAUGUUCGUGAUGUCGGGUGACCCGUGUUCAAAGUUGAAGACUGCAAAAGACAUUGAAAUGUCGUUGGCAUUGUGGCAUUUUUGAAAUGAAGCUCAAGAUUGAUUUUUUGGCCAUGAAGCUCGGAUCGAUUGCACAUAUGAGUAAUAGAGAAUGGACUGGUCGGAACCAGGUGCUUAAAAAUCAUGAUGAGCACGGUUUUGAUUCCUAUUCCAAAGAGGGCCAAACUGCAGAAAGAGUGUUUCAAGUUGAUUUCA